rnacentral:rRNA from 1 species
CGAACGCUGGCGGCGUGAUNAAAACAUGCAAGUCGAACGAUCACCCUUCCAUUUNUCUAUUCGGAGAGAUUGAGGAGCGGGUUAGGGGAGAGGGGUUGAAUAACGUGUGAGCCACCCUGUCUAAACAAGGGGAUAGCCUCGGGACUCCGGGAUUUAUUCCGUAUGAGACCCCGCCUUCCCAUGUAGAAGAGGUUCAAAGAUUUUAUCGGUUUAAGAUGGGCUCGCGUCUGAUUAGCUAGUUGGUGAGAUAAAAGCCCACCAAGUCAACGAUCAGUAACCGGCUUGAGAGAGUGAACGGUCACAUUGGACACUGAGACACGGUCCAAACUCCUCAGGGAGGCAGCAGUGGGGAAUAUUGCACAAUGGGGGAAACCCUGAUGCAGCGACGCCGCGUGAGCGAUGAAGGAAUUCGUUUCGUAAAGCUCUGUCCUAGGGGAAGAUAAUGACAGUACCCUUGGAGGAAGCCCCGGCUAAAUACGUGCGCAGCAGCCGNNNNUUACGUAUGGGGCGAGCGUUGUCCGGAAUUAUUGGGCGUAAAGGGUACGUAGGCGGUUUCAUAAGUCAGAUGUAAAAGCGUGGGGCUCAACCCCAUAAAGCAUUUGAAACUGUGGAACUUGAGUAGUGGAGAGGAAAGUGGAAUUCCUAGUGUAGCGGUGAAAUGCGUAGAUAUUAGGAGGAAUACCAGUGGCGAAGGCGACUUUCUGGACACAAACUGACGCUGAGGUACGAAAGCAUGGGGAGCACACAGGAUUAGAUACCCUGGUAGUCCAUGCCGUAAACGAUGAAUGCUAGGUGUCGGGGGUCAAACCUCGGUGCCGCAGUUAACACAGUAAGCAUUCCGCCUGGGGAGUACGGUGGCAACACUGAAACUCAAUGGAUCAAAUGAANNNNNNNNGGCCCGCGCAAGCAGCGGAGCAUGUGGUUUAUUUCGAUGCAACGCGAAGAACCUUACCAGGACUUGACAUAUAGAUGAAAGAUCUAGAGAUAGAUCCCUCUCUUCGGAGACAGCUAUACAGGUGGUGCAUGGUUGUCGUCAGCUCGUGUCGUGAGAUGUUGGGUUAAGUCCCGCAACGAGCGCACCCCCUAUAGCUAGUUACCAGCACUUCGGGUGGGGACUCUAGUUAGACUGCCGAUGAUAAAUCGGAGGAAGGUGGGGAUGACGUCAAAUCAUCAUGCCCUUUAUGUCCUGGGCUACACACGUGCUACAAUGGUCGGUACAGAGGGCAGCGAGACUGUGAAGUUAAGCGAAUCUCAGAAAGCCGACCCCAGUUCGGAUUGCAGGCUUGCAACUCGCCUGCAUGAAGUCGGAGUUGGUAGUAAUCGCAGAUCAGAAUGCUGCGGUGAAUGCUUGCCGCUC